rnacentral:lncRNA from 1 species
CCGCCCUGCCUUAUCCGGAAUCUCUUGGAAAAUUCCUUCACCUUUUGGAACAAUUUCUUCUAUAUACUUAUUUGCUUGUCCAUUCAACAGGCAGGGAAGCAAUCCCUGACGUCAAGAAGAUUAUAUUCCGAGCAUCUGGAGCGAGAACUCCUAAACCCUGAAUAUGCAUCUGUAUAGCUGUGAGAAUUGGACUGGAGCCCCCCAAGUUUAUUUCAUCUCAUUCACUAGAAAGUGAUGGUUCUUAGUCAUCAAAACUCAGGACAGCUGUACAGAUAAGCUGCAGUAAGUCAGAUAUCUUCUAAUUAUUUUAAGCUCAUUUCACUACUUAUUUUAUAGCUCUGCCCUCAAUAG